UCUCUCUCUCUCUCUCUCUCUUUGUUCCCUGUUGCUACGUAUGUGUAAGUGCGGGUGUGCGUGUGCGCGUUUCUUUCUCGCCUCGUCACGCCUCGCUUCGUCCCGUCUCAUCUCUGUCUUCUCCUCUGCUCUCUUCUUCUCCUCUCCUCCUCUUGUUGUGUGUCUCCACCUCGACUUCGCUCGUUGCCGCGAAAGUGGCAGGUUUGCGCGAGCGAAUAAAAUCGGUGGAAGACGAUGUAGAGGAGAAGGAGGAAUAGAGAGGGAGGAGGAGGAGGGGGAGGAGGGAGAAAGGAGGAACUGAGGUGAUGAUAAUCGCGGAGGCGAGAAGAAACGCCGGGGAUGCCGUAAGAAAUCCCCCGUGCGUUACGGUGCGUGAAUGAAGUCGCGAAAUAGUCCAGGCGAAGAACGUAAUUCGGUGGUGACGACAACGAGGGGGUUGUGAGGACGGGCGAAGAAAUUGCGAAAGUGUGAGAAAGAUUUCAAGUGGGAGUGAUAAAUUUGAAAGGAAAUUCUAGCAGCUCGCAAAGCACGGCGAGAAUAUUUUUUCUUUCGCCGGAGAAAGAUUAAAAGAAAAGAAAAAAGAAAUAUCGCCGGUGAGCUGCUACGGCGGUUUGUGCGAAUCGCGGUGAUCGCGCGCGAGUAUCGCCGUCGGAGAAGCCCAAAGUGGGGAGGAGAGAGAAAUAGGGGGAGCGCAGAAGCCGAAAAUCCAGGCCGUUUCUUCGCGCGGCGAAGAAGAAGAAGAAGACGCGAAGACUCUGUGUGUUACCGCGAGAGCAUCCGUAAAUAUGCCGACAAGGCUCGAUCAGACGAACGUCUUGCCCGGUCGAAAGAAACGUCGUAGCCGUCUGCCAUUUUCUCUUGUUUUCUUCGCCCUGCGGAAACAAUUGUGACGACGCAAGACAGAGAGAGAGAGAGAGAGAGAGAGAGAGAGAGAGAGAGAGAGAGAGAGAGAGAGAGAGAGAGAGAGAGAGAGAGAGAGAGAGAGAGAGAGACAUCAUGUGAGGGUAGAGUGUCCGCGCCCAGCGCGGCCAACAUGAAUCGUCGAGUGUUUCCGAAGUGCGACAACAAUUUCGGGCUCUUCUUCAGUUCGGCACGCUCCGCUGCCGAGAGUAAUUGCUAACGCGCCGCGAGGAUCCGAGAACUCAUAAGUGACGAGAGACGCGCUUAUCCCCGACAAAGGAGACACGACCAGGAGCUGAUUUCAGGACUCCUCCGAGCCACCCUCGCCGAGGCUCUUCAUGGCGGGCGAAUAAGAGACAACGGCAGCCGUGCGAUAGCUGACGGAUGGGAACAUGAUUCCGGUACGGCGGAUCCGGCGAACCCGACGGAAAGCCAGAAGAAGAGCGUCCUGAGGUCAACGAGACGCGGGCACUGCGGGGAUAUGGAUGCUCGCGAGGACGGCGGGGCCGCUCGAACGAGAGGCUCCAAUUUGUUGACUUAACGACCACUAUUCCGGGCGAAUCACGACGUGCGUCCGG